UUCCUACGGGACGCAGCAGUGGGGAAUAUUGCACAAUGGGGGGAACCCUGAUGCAGCGACGCCGCGUGAGUGAAGAAGUAUUUCGGUAUGUAAAGCUCUAUCAGCAGGGAAGAAGAUGACGGUACCUGACUAAGAAGCCCCGGCUAACUACGUGCCAGCAGCCGCGGUAAUACGUAGGGGGCAAGCGUUAUCCGGAUUUACUGGGUGUAAAGGGAGCGUAGACGGCAGGGCAAGUCUGGAGUGACAGCCCG
rnacentral:rRNA from 1 species